rnacentral:rRNA from 1 species
UGGGGAAUAUUGCGCAAUGGGCGAAAGCCUGACGCAGCAACACCGCGUGAGGGAUGACGGCCUUCGGGUUGUAAACCUCUUUCAGCUCCGACGAAGCGAAAGUGACGGUAGGAGCAGAAGAAGCACCGGCUAACUACGUGCCAGCAGCCGCGGUAAUACGUAGGGUGCAAGCGUUGUCCGGAAUUAUUGGGCGUAAAGAGCUCGUAGGCGGUCCGUUGCGUCUGCCGUGAAAACCCGGAGCUCAACUCCGGGCCUGCGGUGGAUACGGGCGGACUAGAGUCCGGUAGGGGAGACUGGAAUUCCUGGUGUAGCGGUGGAAUGCGCAGAUAUCAGGAGGAACACCGGUGGCGAAGGCGGGUCUCUGGGCCGGAACUGACGCUGAGGAGCGAAAGCGUGGGGAGCGAACAGGAUUAGAUACCCUGGUAGUCCACGCCGUAAACGGUGGGCGCUAGGUGUGGGAUCGUUUCCACGAUCUCCGUGCCGUAGCUAACGCAUUAAGCGCCCCGCCUGGGGAGUACGGUCGCAAGAUU